rnacentral:rRNA from 1 species
GACGAACGCUGGCGGCGUGCUUAACACAUGCCAGUCGAACGGAAAGGCCCUGCUUUUGUGGGGUGCUCGAGUGGCGAACGGGUGAGUAACACGUGAGUAACCUGCCCUUGACUUUGGGAUAACUUCAGGAAACUGGGGCUAAUACCGGAUAGGAGCUCCUGCUGCAUGGUGGGGGUUGGAAAGUUUCGGCGGUUGGGGAUGGACUCGCGGCUUAUCAGCUUGUUGGUGGGGUAGUGGCUUACCAAGGCUUUGACGGGUAGCCGGCCUGAGAGGGUGACCGGCCACAUUGGGACUGAGAUACGGCCCAGACUCCUACGGGAGGCAGCAGUGGGGAAUAUUGCACAAUGGGCGGAAGCCUGAUGCAGCAACGCCGCGUGCGGGAUGACGGCCUUCGGGUUGUAAACCGCUUUCGCCUGUGACGAAGCGUGAGUGGCGGUAAUGGGUAAAGAAGCACCGGCUAACUACGU